rnacentral:lncRNA from 1 species
UGGGGGCACUUAUGGGGUCUUGGGGGCAGAUAUGGGAUCAGAGGGGUCACAUUUGGGGGGCUUGGGGGUCUUGGGGGGCAGUUAUGGGGUCAGUGGGGUCACAUUUGGGGCAAUUGGGGGUCUUGGGGGGCAGAUAUGGGGUCAGAGGGGUCACGUUUGGGGCAAUUGAGGGUCUUGGGUGGCAGAUAUGGGGUCAAAGGAACUGCAUUGGGGGCACUUAUGGGGUCUUGGGAGGAGAUACGAGGCCAGAGGGACCACAUUUGGGGUCCUUGGGGGCACAUAUGGGAUCAGAGGGGUCACAUUUGGGGCAAUUGAGGGUCUUGGGGGGCAGAUAUGGGGUCAAAGGAACUGCAUUGGGGGCACAUAUAAGGUCUUGGGGGCAGAUACGAGGCCAGAGGGACCAAAUUUGGGGUCUUGGNNNNNNNNNNNNNNNNNNNNNNNNNCCUUGGGGGUCUUGGGGGCAGAUAUGGGAUCAGAGGGGUCACAUUUGGGGGGCUUGGGGGUCUUGGGGGGCAGAUAUGGGGUUAGAGGGGUCACAUUUAGGGUCUUUGGGGGUCUUGGGGGCAGAUAUGGGGUCAAAGAAGUGCAAAGGGGGCACUUAUGGGGUCUUGGGGGGAGAUAGGAGGCCAGAGGGACCACAUUUGGGGUCCUUGUGGGUCUUGAGGGGAACAUAUGGGGUCAGGGGAACUGCGUUUGGGGUGCUCAGGGGUCUUGGGAGGCGGAUAUGGGGUUUAAAGAACCGGUUUUGGGGUGCUUGGGGAGCAGAGAUGGGGCAAAAGGAAACAAGUUUGGGGUCGGAGGAGAUUUGGGGGGCAAGGGGGAUGGGGGGGCAA